rnacentral:tRNA from 1 species
UAGGAAGUGGUGUAAUGGGCGCACCUAGAAUUUUGAGUUCUGAAAUAAAGGUUCAAAUCCUUUCUUCCUAG